AGAGCAGGCAGGACAGAGAGAAGCACAGGAGAUCAGAUCUGCUACGGACCACAGAGCAGAGGCUUCCCAGCCCUGAGACCAACAGAAAUGCCAGGACUCACUGAAAUCCUUCAGAGGGAUUUUUUCUCAAAUGAAGAAUCCAAUAUAUUUUCUUAAGGAUGGAGAGAAAAGCAGAAAGAGAUAUUUCAGCCUGCUCUUCCCUUUGGAGAUGAGAGCAGCUGAAUGGAAAGGAUUAUGUAAUGUUUUGGGCUUGAUCCAGAUGCCUUUGCAGCUUGGCCUUUUUUCAUGUAGAGAGACAUUUACUUUCCCAAACCCAGGUGACAGGUGUCUGCAGAAGGAGUUUCAAGCCUGAAAGGUUUUCAAGAUCCCUGAAAUAUCAAACUGUUGCCCCUGUCAAAUGGGCUCCUGAGGAGUGAAGGCUUUUCAUUUUUCAUCCUAAAUCUAGAAGGAAUUAUUCAAUUUUAUAACCAGGUUUCCUCUGGCUGCUACUGAUGAUAGAAAUAAAA
rnacentral:lncRNA from 1 species